GUGGGGAAUAUUGCACAAUGGGGGAAACCCUGAUGCAGCAACGCCGCGUGAGUGAUGAAGGCCUUCGGGUUGUAAAGCUCUGUCUUCAGGGACGAUAAUGACGGUACCUGAGGAGGAAGCCACGGCUAACUACGUGCCAGCAGCCGCGGUAAUACGUAGGUGGCAAGCGUUGUCCGGAUUUACUGGGCGUAAAGGGAGCGUAGGCGGACUUUUAAGUGAGAUGUGAAAUACCCGGGCUCAACCUGGGUGCUGCAUUUCAAACUGGAAGUCUAGAGUGCAGGAGAGGAGAGUGGAAUUCCCAGUGUAGCGGUGAAAUGCGUAGAGAUUAGGAAGAACACCAGUGGCGAAGGCGACUCUCUGGACUGUAACUGACACUGAGGCUCGAAAGCGUGGGGAGCAAACAGGAUUAGAUACCCGGGUAGUCC
rnacentral:rRNA from 1 species